rnacentral:rRNA from 1 species
CCUACGGGCGGCAGCAGUAGGGAAUCUUUCACAAUGGGCGAAAGCCUGAUGGAGCAACGCCGCGUGCAGGAUGAAGGCCUUCGGGUUGUAAACUGCUUUUAUAAGCGAGAAAUAUGAUGGUAACUUAUGAAUAAGGAUCGGCUAACUACGUGCCAGCAGCCGCGGUCAUACGUAGGAUCCGAGCAUUAUCCGGAGUGACUGGGUGUAAAGAGUUGCGUAGGUGGCAUAAUAAGUAGCUAGUGAAAUCUGGUGGCUCAACCAUUCAGCCUAUUAGCUAAACUGUUAAGCUCGAGACCGUUAGGGGUAACUGGAAUUUCUAGUGUAGGAGUGAAAUCCGUAGAUAUUAGAAGGAACACCAAUAGCGUAGGCAGGUUGCUGGGACGGUUCUGACACUAAGGCACGAAAGCGUAGGGAGCAAACGGGAUUAGAUACCCGAGUAGUC